rnacentral:rRNA from 1 species
GGAGGGUGCAAGCGUUGUUCGGAAUUACUGGGCGUAAAGCGUGUCUAGGCUGAAACGUAAGUCAUGUGUGAAAGACCUUGGCUCAACCAAGGAAUUGCGCCUGAAACUACGCUUCUUGAGAUGCAGAGAGGUGAGUAGAAUUCCUAGUGUAGCAGUGAAAUGCGUUGAUAUUAGGAAGAAUACCAGUUGCGAAGGCAGCUCACUGGCUGCACACUGACGCUGAAGCACGAAAGCGUGGGUAGCAAACAGGAUUAGAUACCCUGGUAGUCCCACGCCCGUAAACGAUGGAUACUAGGUGUCGGGGGAAUUGACCCCUUCGGUGCCGGCGCUAACGCAUUAAGUAUCCCCGCCUGGGGAGUACGGUCGCAAGAUUA